rnacentral:sRNA from 1 species
AGGCACCCGGGUCAGCAGUGUGCUGAAUAAAAGGACCAAUAUAAGUAGCUACGGAGUACUCCGUGGGAAAACAGCAAAUGUGCCUCCUACUCCCCAUUAUUCAAAAACAAACUGGCUCGGAUCUUGCCAGAGGAAAUUUUGCACCAUGCGAAGGAUGGAUGGAUCGAUGAUUCAAACUUGGAGCCCAUGAUCAACUCUGCCAAGCUAGCCAUCAAGGUACAAUAACAUUUGAGAUUAAUAUCAGAUACGAAGGAUAGAUACAGGGUUAGUGAGAGUUUGAGAAAUCAAGCAAGGAACCUUCCUCUGGAAGAAGAUAUGUGGCUAGUAUGUUAGAGUUUGUUAGGUCACUGG